GUGAAAUGGAAACCACAGGCUCAUAGUCCUGCAGUGGGAAAGAAUGUGUCUUCCCCAGAAACAGCCGCAAACAGCUUGAUCACAGAAACGGGAGACAGAUAACAGAUUGCAGCAUCCUUCCUGGAGACUUCUGUUUCAGACCCUCCCUGGCACCUGGAUGUUGGGAAUCAUUAUGAAAGGAAAACUAAUGAAAACAGAAUCGUGAUGUCUCUGUUGUCUUAACGUCUUGUUAGUCAAAGCUCCUGGCUGCCCAAGAUACAGCCAAACUCACAGCAGGGAAGUAUAAACAGCAAAGCAGAUUGAGGAGACUCUGCAAGCCCUUACCACAUGCUGAGGUCGGUGGGGAGAAAACCUGAAUGCCAUACGACACCAUGGUAAAAGGGACAUACCAGAACUGGUCCCUCAGGACUGUCCAGGACAGCUCUACAGAGCUCCCCUCCUUGGCCCUAUCCAUCAUGCAUACUGCAGAUCGCAUUUAUGGAGAGACUCCUCUGACAUGUGGUGAUUGAAUAGUGAAAUGGGUUGCCCAGAGAGGUUGUGGAGCCUGCACCCCUGCAAAUAUUCAAAAUUCAACUGGAAAUGGAAGAAGGAUGGCAAAGAAAAGCUGGAGAACCGAUGAAAGUAUCACUUGGCUACAGAAAUACUGACAGUUCCAGUUUGUGAUACAUAUGGUAAUUCUGAGCAGUGAUGUACUAUAAAAGUGCUGAUAAUUUAUUUCCUUAUAUUUUUAUUGCAAGUAAUAAGUGAUCAUGCAUCCUGUUUUACUUUCACUUGAAAAAGUUCCCAUGAAGAUUCAAUGCAUCAAAGACUGGACCAUACCAUAUCCAACAAAGUCCAUAUUACAGAUACUAUUACACUCCAGAUGAAAAUUUUCCCCUUGGCAUUGAAAAGUAGUGGAAAUUGCUUGAUUUCUCAUAAGCUAGAAGGUUAUGUGUACUUCAAGUGUUUUGUUUCUACUCAAAAAAAAACUACUCUAAAAAAAAAUCCUAGAAAGGUUGAAGCAGGACAGAUGAGGGGAAAAUGAUUCUGCAAAACAGCACUGUGGAAUUUUUUAUCUCAGUGUAAACUAUACCAAGUUCACGGGAAAAGGAAAAAGAACCCUUCAGUAAUUGCCUUUGCAGUAAACCCAGCCUGAGCUGCAGCAAUCAGACUGAUAAUUUAUAUUUAUCCUAUCAUGGGAAACAAUAUUAAAAAACGUUCAACUGCAGUUUGGUUUGUUUGGCUUUUUAGCACAACAAUUUCAGCUCUUUAGUAGGUAUGCACCUGCUCCAGUUUUGGGGUGCUUGUAGUGCUCUACCCCUCCAUGACCUCACCAGACACUGCUCUGGGGGGAGUACUAUUACUGCUCCCCUCUCACCUGGUAGGAAAUCCACCAUGGUGCAAACUGAGUAGCUGCUGCCAAGAAGGUCCAGUGCAUCCCAGGAGAAUGGGAGUAUGUUGUUCUGGGCCGAUGUCUCUGUAGGCAGCUGUCUGUGAACAUAUUGCUUUCUCUGUGCCUAGGAGAAAGCUGGGUAGAUCUGGACAGUGAGCUGAAAGGUGGAGAUAUCUGUGAGACCAGAUGCUUAGGGAAAAACAGAAAGUAAGACAAACUGAACGUAGAGGUGGAUCCAUACUUUUGCAGUUAUUUGCCUGGCCUUCUGAAGUCAUGACAAGCUGGAAACUUCCUGCAGCUCAUAAAAGCUUAGAACAACUACUUUAGUUCCCUGAUGGCAGUCAGUCAGUUACUCACUGGUGCCCUCAGCCAUGAGACAGUUGUGGCAUUUUCAUUGCAAAACUGUUAUAGGGAAGAUGUCCUACAACCCCAAGCAUCUGUGGCCUCGCUCCUGUUCCUGUGGGCUAAUGGAGCUUUUCUCAGUCCUAGCUGGAAAAAAAAAAAAAAAGGAUUUUUUUUCUAGUUCCUGCUGCAUCAAUGAGUGGCCUGGCACACCUGAAUAUGUGAAGACAAUUUUAAUGGUUGGGAAAAGCAGUAGCCUACACUGGUUUUAUCUCAAAAGGCUGUACUGGAAGGUAACUAGCCAGCACCCUCUGGCAGAUGGGGGUAAAAAGACUGUCCAAGCUAUUGUGUGAUAGAAAAGUCCCUUGCUGUACAGAUACAUGAGUAGAUGCUGGUCUGAUCUCCAUGUUAUGCUGGAGGAAGAAGCAGCUGAGAUGUAGGAGGAUGCUGCAAGCGUGCACAGUGAGCCUGCAGCUGUGCAAACAACAUCAACCUGUGUUCAAUGGCUUUCAUCAGCACAGCCCGCAUAUAUGCACAAAACCUUUGCUUCAUGGCCUCAGGCCAGCCAGGAUGUCAUAUGGUUUGUGUUUGGUCUAGGCCGGAUUCAGAGCUGGUGUAAGCAGCUUGAACAGUCUGAAUAACUAGA